rnacentral:rRNA from 1 species
GUCCUUUAGAAAUAAGAAUUUAAGGUCUAACCUGCCCACUGAUAUUUUAAAUGGCCGCAGUAAUUUGACUGUGCAAAGGUAGCAUAAUCAUUAGUUUUUUAAUUAAAAGCUUGUAUGAAUGGUUGGACGAAAUAAAAUCUGUCUCUAGAUAAUUAUUAGAAUUUAAUUUUUAAGUUAAAAAGCUUAAAUUUCAUUAAAAGACGAGAAGACCCUAUAGAUCUUUAUAGUUUUUUUUAUAGUUUGAUUUAAGAUUUUUUUAUUAAUUAUAAUAAGUACUAUUUUAUUGGGGUAAUAAAAAGAUUAAAUAAAUUCUUUUUUCAAUUUAACAAAAAUAAUUGAUUAUUUGAUCCUUUUUUAUUGAUUAUAAGAUUAAGUUACCUUAGGGAUAACAGCGUAAUUUUUUUAAAGAGUUCAUAUCGAUAAAAAAGUUUGCGACCUCGAUGUUGGAUUAAAAAUUAUUUUGGGUGUAGAAGUUCAAAGUUUUGGUCUGUUCGACCAUUAGAUUUUUACAUGAUCUGAGUUCAGACCGGCGUAAGCCAGGUCGGUUUCUAUCUUUAUUAAAUUAUUAUAUUUUAGUACGAAAGGACCAAAUAUAGGAUAUAUUUAUAUUUAUUAUUUGAUUAA